rnacentral:misc_RNA from 1 species
GAUGAAGAACGCAGUGAAAUGCGAUAAGUAGUGUGAAUUGCAGAAUUCAGUGAAUCAUCGAAUCUUUGAACGCACAUUGCGCCCGCCAGUAUUCUGGCGGGCAUGCCUGUUCGAGCGUCAUUUCAACCAUCAAGCCCCAGGCUUGUGUUGGGGACCUGCGGCUGCCGCAGGCCCUGAAAACCAGUGGCGGGCUCGCUAGUCACACCGAGCGUAGUAGCAUACACAUCGCUCAGGGCGUGCUGAGGGUUCCGGCCGUUAAACCCCUUUUUUACCCAAGGUUGACCUCGGAUCAGGUAGGAAGACCCGCUGAACUUAAGCAUAUCAAUAAGCGGAGGA